rnacentral:rRNA from 1 species
AGAGUUUGAUCCUGGCUCAGGACGAACGCUGGCGGCGUGCUUAACACAUGCAAGUCGAACGGAAAGGCCUAAGCUUGCUUGGGUACUCGAGUGGCGAACGGGUGAGUAACACGUGAGUGAUCUGCCCUCAACUUCGGGAUAAGCCUGGGAAACUGGGUCUAAUACUGGAUAGGACCAUCCUUUAGUGUGUGAUGGUGGAAAGUUUUUUCGGUUGGGGAUGAGCUCGCGGCCUAUCAGCUUGUUGGUGGGGUAAUGGCCUACCAAGGCGUCGACGGGUAGCCGGCCUGAGAGGGUGUACGGCCACAUUGGGACUGAGACACGGCCCAGACUCCUACGGGAGGCAGCAGUGGGGAAUAUUGCACAAUGGGCGGAAGCCUGAUGCAGCGACGCCGCGUGAGGGAUGACGGCCUUCGGGUUGUAAACCUCUUUCGACAGGGACGAAGCUUUUGUGACGGUACCUGUAUAAGAAGCACCGGCUAACUACGUGCCAGCAGCCGCGGUAAUACGUAGGGUGCGAGCGUUGUCCGGAAUUACUGGGCGUAAAGAGCUCGUAGGUGGUUUGUCGCGUCGUCUGUGAAAUUCCGGGGCUUAACUCCGGGCGUGCAGGCGAUACGGGCAUAACUUGAGUGCUGUAGGGGAGACUGGAAUUCCUGGUGUAGCGGUGAAAUGCGCAGAUAUCAGGAGGAACACCGAUGGCGAAGGCAGGUCUCUGGGCAGUAACUGACGCUGAGGAGCGAAAGCAUGGGGAGCGAACAGGAUUAGAUACCCUGGUAGUCCAUGCCGUAAACGUUGGGCACUAGGUGUGGGGGACAUUCCACGUUUUCCGCGCCGUAGCUAACGCAUUAAGUGCCCCGCCUGGGGAGUACGGCCGCAAGGCUAAAACUCAAAGGAAUUGACGGGGGCCCGCACAAGCGGCGGAGCAUGCGGAUUAAUUCGAUGCAACGCGAAGAACCUUACCAAGGCUUGACAUAUACUGGACCGCAUCAGAGAUGGUGUUUCCCUUCGGGGCUGGUAUACAGGUGGUGCAUGGUUGUCGUCAGCUCGUGUCGUGAGAUGUUGGGUUAAGUCCC